rnacentral:tmRNA from 1 species
AAAGGGUUCGACUUAGGUGAUUAGGGUAACGGCAGCAUGCCGCGGACGCAAGGUUGGCCGCGUUAAUAAUCCUUGCACAAUAUAAACGCAAAUAACAGAAUAGCGUUUACUAAACCAGCGCCUAUGGCUAUGCCCAUGGGUAUGGGUUUGGUCCCAGCCUUCGCUAACUAAUUUAGCGAAGCCAUCCUUUUAUCUUAGCCUGCGAGGUAAAAGGAUGCCCAAGCAGGCUGGCUUUGGUAAAUUAGCCUUUGGGGCCGAAGCGAGAUUCAAAAAGGCCGCGGACUGCAAAUCCUGCCCCGCAGGAGCUGCAGUAGUAAGCAAAAAAUACGGGGCUAAGCAUGUAGCGGCUUUUAUUCAGUUAUCUAGGGACGCGGGUUCGAUCA